rnacentral:lncRNA from 1 species
CUUCCCAGAAAGGUUUAUUAAUAAUGUCCCGUUGGUAGGAUAGUCAUAAUCGUAGAUCAUCCAAUUUGUUUUCCAAUGAUUGUACGUUGGCCAAUAAUACCGAGGGUAGUGGUAGUUUACUCACUUGGCGACGAAUUCUCACAAUGCGCCCAGACCUCCGCCCACUGUAUUUCCAUCUUUUCUUCACACGAAUGACAGGGAUUUGUGCCUGGUCUCUGGGAAGCAGUAUAUCCUUUGCGUUGGACUCAUUAAAGAAGAAAUCUUUGUCCAGUUCGAGGUCACUGCCUGGUUGGGGUUGCUGACCUUUGCUGUAUCGGACACAUUUUGGAAGGGGGAGAGGGGAGUCUGCAGUGUGAAAUGGGCUGGGGAGACGACUGGAUCACAACUUCUCCACAAAGCCUCCACACAGGACAUAAUAAAUAUUUCAUCAUUAACAGCUUGUGCAAGAGAUUUGUUUGGGUCUCUUGUGUAGUACCCAUACAAGACAAAUGCAUAGCAACCAUUUGUUGCAUGGCCAUUACCUACAAGCUGUCAGGACACAAAGAUGAUGGCUUGAAUGUCAAAUUGUUUGUCCUUCUUCGUGCGGGAAUAAAUAACCAUACUCAACAAGUCAUAUCUUUUUUGGGGGGGUUCUGCAGCAGGUUGACUGGCUGACUGCCUUUGAGGAUCACUUUUAACUCCAUGGCACUUCAAGAGUAUGCAGGUCCAAACAAGAACACAGACCCUGGCCUCCUGUCUGGCAAAGACCCUCUCCACAGCUGACAGAAACGAGUUCAUGUUGGACUUUAAUCGAAGCAGAUAUAUUAAUCGAAGCAGAUAUACCUCUUGAGAAGAGGCCCAAGUUCUCCACAUUUCUGAAGAAACACUACAAGCAGGGAGGGUCUAUCCCAGCGCAAUCCCAUCUGCAUACAGAGUACCUACCAGAGCUCUACCCACAAUAUCCAGCCCAGGUGGUAGGGGCAAGAAAGGACAUGAAGGCCUAUGUCCAUGCUCUCCCUGCUCUGAGCCAGGUAUCUGCAGAGGAGUGGCACAGAUACAUGGGCAUUGACAAGGCAGAUGCUAUGGAAGUCAGUGCUGUGGACUGGUGGGCAGCUAGGCAGAAUAGGAUUGUGGCGAUACAUCUGUGCCUCCCCACUACCUCAGUGGAUGUAGAGAGACUUUUCUUACAUUAUUAGAUGCUACUUAGUCAGCGUAGAAGGAGCAUCACAGAUAAUUGUUUAAAGAUGUUGAUUGCAAGGUACAAUAGCAUUGAGCAUUAAAAAGCACAUCAGUCACAAACACACCCACCAACUCUCCCACACUUUCUGUGUUUUGGUUAGAAACAAUGUGAUAAUAGUUAUAUGGUGAAUGGAACAACGAGACAGAAUUGUUAAUCUUAUCUAUUUGGCAUUUAUGUAUUUAUAGAUGGUUUCAUCAAUGAAUUAUUUGUAUUUACAGUAUAUGCCUUUGUACUUCGUUAAUAAUGCUCUAUUUAUUUCUGUCAUAUUUUUCAAUAUGGAAACGUUUCCAAUAAAAGGACCAUAUAAAGGUUGAGUCGGUGAAGAGGUUAUUUUUGACUGAGCUUUAGUAGAAGGAUAACCGUAAGUUAUGUUAUUAAAUAAUGUUAGUACUUUAGAGGCAUGAAAAAUCUGUUUGCAGAUUUUUGGCAGAAAUCUCCGCAGAAUAUAGAAAAAACUCCAGGCAGAUUCCGUUUGGGUUUGGUCCUGAGUCAAAAGAGUUAGUGCAAAAAUGGUCAAUGCAGAUAUUCCAGGUAGCUUUUGGUAACUAUUUAACUGACUAUUUAGUAGUCUUAAAGCUUGUUCGGGGUCCUGUUGGUUCCAGAGUUGUGCAUUGCCAUGCGGUAGCAGAGAGAACUGUCUAUGACUCCUGAGUGGCACAGUGGACUAAGGCACUGCAGCUCAGUGCUAGAGGUGUCACUACAGCCCCUGGUUCAAUUCCAGGCUGUAUCACAGAUGACCGUGAUUGGGAAUCCCAUAGGGUGGUGCACAAUUGGCCCAGCAUUGUCUGGGUUUGGCAGGGGUAGACCGUCAUUGUAAAUAAGAAUUUGUUCUUAACCUUUAUUUAACUCGGCAAGUCAGUGAAAUUAAAAAUAAAAGAAAAAAUGUAUUGGGUGUCUGGAGUCUUUGACAAUAUUUGGGGCCUUCCUCUGACACCGCCUGGUAUAGAGGGGAGAAGGCAGGGAGCUCAGCCCCGUCAUGUACUGAGCCUCACGCAUUACCCUCUGUAGAGCUUAGUGGUUCAAUGACAAGCAGUUGCCAUACAAAACGGUGAUACAGACUCUGAGGACCCAUGCCAAAUAUUUUCAGCCUCCUGAGGGGGAAGAGGGGUUGUUGUGACCUCUUCACGACUGUGUUGAUGUGUGGACCAUGAUAGUUCCUUAGUGAUGUGGACACCGAAGCUCUUGACCUGCUCCACAACAGCCCCGAUGAUGUGGAUGGGGGAAUGCUCGGCCCUCCGUUUCCUGUAGUCCACGAUCAGCUCCUUUGUCUUGCUGAUGUUGAGGGAGAGGUUGUUGCCCUGGCACCACACUGCCAGGUCUCUGAUCUCCUCCUUAUAAACUGUCUCAUCAUCAUUGGUGAUCAGGAGAGUACAGACGGGAACUAAGCACGCACUCCGAGGGGACCCAAUGCUGAGGGUCAGCGUGGCGGAAGUGUUGUUCUCUACCCUCACCACCUGGGGCAGACCAUCAUGAAGUCCAGGAUCCUGUUGCAGAGGGAGGGGUUUAAUUCCAUGGUCCUUAGCUUCGUGAUGAGCUUCGAGGGCACAAUUGUGGUUCACACUGACCUGUAGUCAAUUAACUGCAUUCUCACAUAGGUGUUCCUUUUGUCCAGGUGGGAAAGGGCAGUGUGAAGUGCAAUAGGCAUUGCAUCAUCUGUGGAUCUGUUGGGGCGGUAUGUGAAUUGGAGUGGGUCCAAUGUGUCUGCGAUGAUGGUGUUGAUGCGAGCCAAGACAAGCCUUUCCACGCAUGUCUUGGCUACGGCAAAAGUCAUUUAGACAGUUUACCUUGGCUUUCUUGGGCACAGGGACUAUGGUGGUCUGCUUGAAACAUGUAGGCAUUACUGACAGGGUCAGGGAGAGGUUGAAAAUGUCAGUGAAGACAAUUGCCAGCUGGUCUGUGCAUGUUCUGAGCACACGUCAUGGUAAUCCGUCUGGCACUGCAGCCUUGUUAAUGUUAAUCUGUUUAAAGGUCUUACUCACAUCGGCUACAGAGAGUGUAUUCAUGCAGUCAUCCGAACAGCUUGUGUUCUCAUACAUAGUUCAGUGUUGCUAGCCUCAAUGCGCGCAUAGAAGGUUUUUAGAUCGUCUGGUAGGCUUGUGUCACUGGGCAGCUCUUGGCUGGGUUUCCCUUUUUAAUCUGUGAUAGUUUGCAAGUCCUGCCAUAUGUACUGUGUAUGAUAGGUUAUAAUGGUGCCGGGGGGAAAUGGCCUGCCAAAAAUAGUUCUGAUUUAAUUUUUUGGGGUACGUAAUGUUUCCGCCAUCGUAUCCUUUGACUGAAAAGAGCUUCUGGACAUCAGAACAGCUAUCAUAGAUGUUUCAACCGGAAUAUAGCAAAAAGGAUUCGAAAUGAGGAGUUGGAUUUAGCUAAAGUUAGAAGCUCAGCUACAGUCGAUGACAGCACCAAGAGGGCAGAUGACAAAUACAAUGCCUAGCUAGGUUAUUUUCCCUGCAAGCCACCUAACUAACUUUCAUUUAUCUACUGAGACCCAUAUUGUGUAUUGCUGGCUCGAAAUUGUAACUUGUUGACAUCAGCAACUAUAAAUCAUUUUACUAGCGAACUAUGUAACAUAAUUGAUGAGGGUUGACAUUGGUUUUGAUUAUGUCCGUGGAUGCAUUUCAAUCUCACAAAAUUAUAGGCAUGACGAAAGAUAGGAUUCCAAACAGAUGUAAAUAACAAGUAUUGCAUAUCCAACAAGCUAGCUAGCUACGUUUACUAGCAAACAGUACAGAGAGCCAAUAAUACAACAAUUUACUGUUGUAAAUCUCUAAAAUGGAAGCUGGUUUUACUAUUAAAAUAUUUGCCUAAGCAUGCCUGAUAGACAUGGCUGUAGGUAGAUACUGUCUGCAUACCUACCUAGGCUCAUUUGUACGUCACUGUGCAAAGGUUGAGGGUUAUGCCAUAUUUCUUUCUUUU